GAUAAACGCUGGCGGCGCACAUAAGACAUGCAAGUCGAACGGACCAAAACUUUAGUUUACUAUAGUAGAGGUUAGUGGCGGACUGGUGAGUAACACGUAAGCAACCUGCCUAUCAGAGGGGAACAACAGUUAGAAAUGACUGCUAAUACCGCAUAUGCCAUAAUCACCACAUGGUGAUAGUGGGAAAGGAGCAAUCCGCUGAUAGAUGGGCUUGCGUCUGAUUAGAUAGUUGGUGGGGUAACGGCCUACCAAGUCGACGAUCAGUAGCCGGACUGAGAGGUUGAACGGCCACAUUGGGACUGAGAUACGGCCCAGACUCCUACGGGAGGCAGCAGUGAGGAAUAUUGGUCAAUGGGCGAGAGCCUGAACCAGCCAAGUCGCGUGAGGGAAGACCGGGUACUAAGUAUUGUAAACCUCUUUUGUCAGGGAACAAAGAGACCACGUGUGGUAAGAUGAGUGUACCUGAAGAAAAAGCAUCGGCUAACUCCGUG
rnacentral:rRNA from 1 species